rnacentral:tRNA from 1 species
GGAGAGUGAAGUGUGGCUGGUGUUCGCCGCGGUCCUCAAAACCGUUGUCGGUAUUUAUAUGCCGAGGUAGGUUCGAUUCCUACCCUCUCCGCCA